GGUUAAGCGACUAAGCGUACACGGUGGAUGCCCUGGCAGUCAGAGGCGAUGAAGGACGUGCUAAUCUGCGAUAAGCGUCGGUAAGGUGAUAUGAACCGUUAUAACCGGCGAUUUCCGAAUGGGGAAACCCAGUGUGUUUCGACACACUAUCAUUAACUGAAUCCAUAGGUUAAUGAGGCGAACCGGGGGAACUGAAACAUCUAAGUACCCCGAGGAAAAGAAAUCAACCGAGAUUCCCCCAGUAGCGGCGAGCGAACGGGGAGGAGCCCAGAGCCUGAAUCAGUGUGUGUGUUAGUGGAAGCGUCUGGAAAGGCGCGCGAUACAGGGUGACAGCCCCGUACACAAAAAUGCACAUACUGUGAGCUCGAUGAGUAGGGCGGGACACGUGGUAUCCUGUCUGAAUAUGGGGGGACCAUCCUCCAAGGCUAAAUACUCCUGACUGACCGAUAGUGAACCAGUACCGUGAGGGAAAGGCGAAAAGAACCCCGGCGAGGG
rnacentral:rRNA from 1 species